CUAUAUACACAUUCUCUCACAUACCCACGUUAUACAUAGUUCAUACACAAAAUUCACACCCAGAUCUAGAUCGUUUCUCUUUUCUGGUGGAUAUGGCCGCUGGUGACUCGCCCAAUGCUUACUCAUGCUCAUCUUCUCCCAAAAUAUUUUCAAUAACUGAAAAUGAGGAUUUUUUUAUUUCCCUAAAAUCAGAUUUUGGGACAGUAGGGCCGGAGUCCAAUUUCGACAUAGUGGUGCUAGAGUCUGAUUUCUCUGUCCCAUUGACGGUGGUUGCCCCCUCGGUGGCCGGCGAAAACCGUUUCGGUGACGAUUUUGCUUCCAUAUGAGCAAUCCAAACAAUAGACACAGACUUUCGCGAAAUGUUAAAAGAGUAGCAACGCAAUGAUGUCCUGUAGGAAGAAGAAAAGCGAAAAUUCAACAUUCUUGGAAGACGUUAGAGACCACAUUGAUGAAUUCAUCCAUGCAUCAGUAGACGAACACAAAUCUUGCUUCCAGAAGACAAUCAGCAAGAUGUUUGGCCUGUCAAAGAUUGUUGCAGAAAGGAGCUCCGAGAGCGUAGAAGUAGUAAGUGAACUACCCCUUCAGACAACAGUAGCAAAAGAUGCUUAAAAGAGCUUGGGUUAAUGUUCUCUUUGGGCAAUUGUUCGCAUAAAAAAUGUAUCGGCAAUUGGCUGAAUCAGUCAAGAGUUUUGGAGCCUAGUUAUCAUUUGUCAAGGAUGACAAUUGGGCUGGUUAUCCUGGGGAUUUACCUUUACAUCAAUUUUCUGAGCCCAAAAGGUAACUUGCAUAAUACAUACUCCCUCCGUCCCGCAGGUCACAUUUAUCUUUUGCGUCAUUAUACUUAACGUUAAAAAUAUCAUUAUAUUUGUAUAAUUUUUUAUAUAAAUGUUCUUCUAUUAGUAUUAUAAAACACUAAUGGAAGUAUUUUUGUAAUUUUUUAUUAAUUUGUAAUAUGUUUUGAUAUAAUAAUUAAUAUUAAAAAAUUAACAUGCAAAAAGUAAAUAAGUUCUCAGAGCCGGACAUAGGUUGGACAUAGGUUGUAUAUGUAUAUGUGUUUUAUUAUAAAUACAUAAAAUAUCAUAUGCUUUAUUGUAUAAAAUUCUCUUGUAUUAUAUAAAAUAUGUACAAAAUACCAUCUCCGUGCAAAGUUAGAUGUUGGGUGUAAAGAAGUUCCUAAUUAUGUAAAAGUAUUAUACAAAUAAAGACAUGAAAUAGACAAGCAGUGAUU